rnacentral:rRNA from 1 species
GAUGAACGCUGGCGGCGUGCUUAACACAUGCAAGUCGAACGGUGAAGCAGAGCUUGCUCUGUGGAUCAGUGGCGAACGGGUGAGUAACACGUGAGCAACCUGCCCCGGACUCUGGGAUAAGCGCUGGAAACGGCGUCUAAUACCGGAUACGAGAUUCCACCGCAUGGUGAGUUUCUGGAAAGAUUUUUUGGUCUGGGAUGGGCUCACGGCCUAUCAGCUUGUUGGUGAGGUAAUGGCUCACCAAGGCGUCGACGGGUAGCCGGCCUGAGAGGGGGACCGGCCACAAGUGGACUGAGACACGGCCCAGACUCCUACGGGAGGCAGCAGUGGGGAAUAUUGCACAAUGGGCGGGAGCCUGAUGCAGCAACGCAGCGUGAGGGAUGACGGCCUUCGGGUUGUAAACCUCUUUCAGCGGGGACGAAGCGAAAGUGACGGUACCCGCAGAAGAAGCACCGGCUAACUACGUGCCAGCCGCCGCAGUAAAAC